AAAUAAAUGAGUUCAUGCACAGUUAAUUUUCACAACAAAAAUCAGCAGGAUAUUCAUUCAAGAUUAUCACUUACAGGCUAAAAUAGAAGCAACAAUUCAAAACAAGGGUAAGUUAGACAACUUCCCUAUUUGGAUGGACGUUUGUAGCCUGCUCCAAGUUCCACUAUGCUCAAUUCCCACCAGAUUCACUGACCAACUUCUACACUGUUGCAGUUAUGUGUAUUUUACCUUUUGGAACAACUUUUAU
rnacentral:lncRNA from 1 species